UGCCAUGGCCAAACAAUUAAAGUCUUUAUUAUACAUUGCGUGCUUUACAUUUCGUAUUUUCACAGCUUUCUAGAGGUUUUUCAAAAGGUUGAAAUAUCACUAUCGCGGCCUGUUGUUCAAAGCUCGAUAGCACUAAACUCGCCCAGUGCUUUGGACCGUUUGGUUUGCGAAUUUCUACAGGUGUGCUUGUUUUAAACUGUAGGAAUUAAACUUUUAUUGAUUCAAUGAAUCAGACAAGAUUUCUGAAAAAAAAAUAUAUUCUAAAGUUUGUUAGCAAUCUGUUGAGAAGUUUGCUAGUUGAGGUUUUUCGAAAGCCCAUUAGCUGUGUUUAUAAAUUUGCAAAAAUUUCUUCAGAAAUCUUGUCUGGAUCAGUAGGAGCAUAGUUAAUAGAGGAGAUGGUUUGGAAACUCAUUAGCAUUACAAUAAACCUCACUAUCUAUGUUUUUGUUCAGGUUUAUGCAAAAAUGUGGUCUUUCAUAGUCACGUGCGUAUUGUAUUUUUGCUCAACCAGCCAAUAGCAACGAUUUUGUCCAAUUGCCCAUCCAUGACUUUAACAAUAGGACAUUUUGAACAUUCUUAAUUACUGGUUGACUUGAGAAAAAUACAAUACGCACGUGACGAUGAAAGACCACAUUUUUGCAUAAACCUGAACAACAUAGAUAAUGAGGUUUAUUGUGAUUUUAUUGUAAUGCUAACGAGUUUCCAAACCAUCUCCUUAAUUAACUAUGGUAGGAGUUUUCUCCUCGGAAGUUUUGAAAUAAACAGACGUGCAGAAAUACAUAAACCAAAACAGCAGGUUAAAUUUUAACCGAGGGUUAGUGCUAAUCCAUCUUUGAACAGAAUAAGCCCCUGGGCUCCUUGUGAAUGGCGUUUGUACAGCCGGCCAAACAUAGCCGGCCAGCAACCGGACAUCUUGUGGUUCACAAAGUUUUUCGCCUGCAACAAAUUUCUAGCCCGCCAAUCUCAAGGCAAUGCCUGCGAUGGCGGAUACGGCGCGCCUCAUAAUUUUAUGCCAUAUCGCCAAACAAAUCUUCGACGUCAUCAGGGAAUGUCGACAAAGCUAUCUUCCUUCGUGAACGUCUUGUGCUGCUACUGGACUGUUUAC